CCCGAUACUAGAGUCACAUCCUGACACAACUCUUGUCUUGGGGUGCUUGAGUCUUCAGAGAGAAUCCGCUUGUCUUGAUUCCCCAGGGGGCAACCAGUGCUCCCAGCCAUGCCCCAAGCAGAAACAUGC